GCGCAGCUCCGAGGGCUGGCGGCUCGGGGCGCCGAGGCUUCCGCGCCCGCUGGUUCCUCGCUCCGGGGCGGAGCUCGCCAUAGCGACCGGGAGCAGGGCGCGGGGCGGGACCCAGGUCCGAGGCGAGGAAGCCGGAAGCCAGGCGCGGGGAGCCUCCCCCUUCGACUGCAGCCUCGCUCCGUGCCUUCUGCGCGCCUGGGAUCCCGGAGCCUGCCUAGGUUCUGUGCGCUCCCGCCCACGCCGGUGCCCGCCGCCCGCCUGCGCCCCAGGCAGGUCCCAGGCCUCCGGCUGCUCCCGGCCGAAGCCCCGAGUGCGAGAUCGAGCGUCCUGAGCGCCUGACCGCAGCCCUGGAUCGCCUGCGGCAGCGCGGCCUGGAACAGAGGUGUCUGCGGUUGUCAGCUCGCGAGGCCUCGGAAGAGGAGCUGGGCCUGGUGCACAGCCCAGAGUAUGUAUCCCUGGUCAGGGAGACCCAGGUCCUAGGCAAGGAGGAGCUGCAGGCGCUGUCCGGACAGUUCGACGCCAUCUACUUCCACCCGAGUACCUUUCACUGCGCGCGGCUGGCCGCAGGGGCUGGACUG
rnacentral:sRNA from 1 species